GGAGCUGUGGUUCAGUGGUAGAGCAUCUGCUUUGCAUGCAGAAGGUAACAGGUUCGAUCCACAGCAUCUCCA